rnacentral:rRNA from 1 species
UACGGAGGGUGCAAGCGUUAUCCGGAUUUACUGGGUUUAAAGGGUGCGUAGGCGGGUCUGUAAGUCAGUGGUGAAAUCUUCGAGCUUAACUCGGAAACUGCCAUUGAUACUAUAGGUCUUGAAUUAUCUGGAGGUAAGCGGAAUAUGUCAUGUAGCGGUGAAAUGCUUAGAUAUGACAUAGAACACCAAUUGCGAAGGCAGCUUACUACGGAUUGAUUGACACUGAGGCACGAAAGCGUGGGGAUCAAACAGG